CAUAGCGACUAUCGUGGCAUAUCAAUAAGCGGAGGAAAAGAAACUAACAAGGACUCCCUAGUAACGGCGAGUGAAGCGGGAAGAGCUCAAAUUUGAAAUCUUAAAGGUUUUCCCUUGACGAAUUGUAGUUUAAAGAAGUGUUUUCUGUUGGAGUUUCGGUAAAAGUUCUUUGGAAUAGGACAUCAUAGAGGGUGAGAAUCCCGUAUUUGACCGUUACUUUCCUAGCUGUGUGAUACACUUUCAAAGAGUCGGAUUGUUUGGGAAUGCAGUCCAAAAUGGGUGGUAAAUUUCAUCUAAAGCUAAAUAUUGGCGAGAGACCGAUAGCGAACAAGUACCGUGAGGGAAAGAUGAAAAGAACUUUGAAAAGAGAGUUAAACAGUACGUGAAAUUGUCAAAAGGGAAGCGUUUGACACCAGUGUUGUUUAGUUGAAAAUCAAUUCAAUAAUUUUUGAUUUUGAGUAGUAUUGACUUCAUCAGCUUGCUGCUUUCUUUUCAGAAAUUAUUGAAUGCACUUUUCAGUUAACAAGUCAACAUCAAUUUCUUUUGUUGUAAAAGGGUAAGAGGAAGGUGGCUUACGCUUCGGCGUCAAGUGUUUAUAGCCUUUUACCUCUGCAAUCGGAGAGAUUGAGGUACAUGCAGCGUAGACUCCUUCGGGGUUAGAUACACUUGAUGCUAAGCUAUAGCCUUGUAUAGACAACUUGUUGACUAUGCUCAGUCAUGUAGCUUACUCGUAGAUGCUAUUUUACCUACGCUUAGGAUGUUGACGCGCGUGUGUGCGUG
rnacentral:rRNA from 1 species